CCUACGGGUGGCUGCAGUGGGGGAUAUUGCACAAUGGGGGAAACCCUGAUGCAGCGACGCCGCGUGUGGGAAGACGGUCCUCUGGAUUGUAAACCACUGUCCCCAGGGACGAAGAUGACGGUACCUGGGGAGGAAGCUCCGGCUAACUACGUGCCAGCAGCCGCGGUAAUACGUAGGGAGCGAGCGUUGUCCGGAUUUAUUGGGUUUAAAGGGAGCGUAGGCCGCAUGUCAAGCGUGCUGUGAAAUGUCCGGGCUCAACCCGGGCCUUGCAGCGCGAACUGGCGUGCUUGAGUCCGCGGAAAGCAGGCGGAAUUCGUCGUGUAGCGGUGAAAUGCUUAGAUAUGACGAAGAACCCCGAUUGCGAAGGCAGCUUGCUGCAGCGGAACUGACGCUGAUGCUCGAAAGCGCGGGUAUCGAACAGGAUUAGAUACCCCAGUAGUC
rnacentral:rRNA from 1 species